UGAAGAGUAUAUAAAGAGAUAGUGUGUAAGCAAUUCUAAGUGAAAUGAAAUAUACAAAAUUACUUUCUCAGUUUCUCUCUAACACUCCUGUAAUCUCUUUCUCUUAAGUGUGAAAUCCUUCAUUGUUAAAGCUUCAAGCUUCUCCUUUAACAUGGUAUCCUCGCCGGGAACAGAUGGCGUUUAUCGAUCCUGAUCAAGUGUUGCUUCCGCUAUCUUCAAUCUUCUCUUCUCAACUACUUCCCUGAAUCCGUGAUUGAUGAGAGUGGGAGGGAGGGAACUGGGAACUGAAGCACAAGACAAGAGGGGACGAAGAGGAAGUGGUGGUGGCCUGGCCUGGUCUCGUUCGUGAGUCGUUAGUCACCCUUUCCCACUUUGACAAUUAUAUUUUAAUUAAAAAAUGUCGAGAUGGCCGGCCACAUAAAUAUAUCUUUAUUUCUGAUCUUGGUGGAUGGAUCGAUCAUAUAGAUGGAUACGUUCGGCUAAUAAUAUUUGGAGAAAUAUUGAAAAAAUUAUCUUAAAAAUGGGACUGUUUAUAUAUGGGAUUAUAUAAAGGGAGACUUUGGAUG